rnacentral:rRNA from 1 species
UACAGAGGUGGCAAGCGUUGUUCGGAAUUACUGGGCGUAAAGGGCGCGUAGGCGGUCUUGUAAGUCCCGCGUGAAAUCCCCCCGGCUCAACUGGGGAACUGCGUGGGAAACUGCGAGGCUUGAGUUCGGGAGAGGGAAGCGGAAUUCCGGGUGUAGCGGUGAAAUGCGUAGAUAUCCGGAGGAACACCGGUGGCGAAGGCGGCUUCCUGGACCGACACUGACGCUGAGGCGCGAAAGCUAGGGGAGCAAACGGG